GGGUGAUUAUCUCAGCUGGGAGAGCACCUCCCUUACAAGGAGGGGGUCGGCGGUUCGAUCCCCGCAUCACCCA
rnacentral:tRNA from 1 species